rnacentral:rRNA from 1 species
UGGGGAAUAUUGGACAAUGGGCGAAAGCCUGAUCCAGCCAUGCCGCGUGAGUGACGAAGGCCUUAGGGUUGUAAAACUCUUUCGUCGGGGACGAUAAUGACGGUACCCGAAGAAGAAGCUCCGGCUAACUUCGUGCCAGCAGCCGCGGUAAUACGAAGGGAGCUAGCGUUGUUCGGAAUCACUGGGCGUAAAGCGCACGUAGGCGGAUAGUUAAGUCAGGGGUGAAAUCCUGGGGCUCAACCCCAGAACUGCCUUUGAUACUGGCUGUCUCGAGGUCGAGAGAGGUUGGUGGAAUUCCUAGUGUAGAGGUGAAAUUCGUAGAUAUUGGGGAAGAACACCAGUGGCGAAGGCGGCUAACUGGUCCGGUACUGACGCUGAGGUGCGAAAGCGUGGGGAGCAAACAGGAUUAGAUACCCGAGUAGUCCCUGAGCGGGCUGGCAAGGCGCAU